CCGCCGCAGUAACACAUGCAAGUCGAGGGGCAGCACAAAUGUAGUUUACUAUAUUGUUGGCGACCGGCGCACGGGUGCGUAACGCGUAUGCAACCUACCUUAUACUGGGGAAUAGCCCGAAGAAAUUCGGAUUAAUGCCCCAUAGUACUAUACUACUACCUGGUAUAAUAGUUAAAGCUUCGGCGGUAUAAGAUGGGCAGGCGUCCAAUUAGUUAGAUGGUGGGGUAACGGCUCACCAUGGCGACGAGUGGUAGGGGGGCUGAGAGGGUGGUCCCCCACACUGGUACUGAGACACGGACCAGACUCCUACGGGAGGCAGCAGUGAGGAAUAUUGGUCAAUGGGCGCAAGCCUGAACCAGCCAUGCCGCGUGAAGGAUGAAGGUUCUAUGGAUUGUAAACUUCUUUUAUUUGGGAAUAAACCUCUUUACGUGUAGAGAGCUGAAGGUACCAAAUGAAUAAGCACCGGCUAACUCCGUGCCAGCCGCCGCUGUA
rnacentral:rRNA from 1 species